CACUGACGGACGCCUGUCGUUGUACCAGAAGGUUUGAAUCUGUUCAACUUUCUCUUCUGUACAAAAGAAGAAUCUGUUGACUUGGAAUAUACUGGUGAAACAGAGGGAGGACAAAUAUGGUACUGCUGAUUAUGAUUGUGCUAUCUAUAUCCGAAUUUUCAAAAAUUACGGCAUCCAGUGAGCAGGACCAGGGAAACCCUACCGCACAGCAAGAAGCUGACGGAGAUCCUUUACUUCCAAGGAUACCAUUAGAUAGCGUU